UACGUAGGGGGCAAGCGUUGUCCGGAAUUAUUGGGCGUAAAGAGCGCGUAGGCGGUCCGGUAAGUCGGCUGUGAAAGUCAAGGGCUCAACCCUUGGAAGGCGGCCGAUACUGUCGGACUAGAGUCCGGAAGAGGCGAGUGGAAUUCCUGGUGUAGCGGUGAAAUGCGUAGAUAUCAAGAGGAACACCUGAGGCGAAGGCGGGUUGCUAGGCUGAUACUGACGCUGAGUGCGCGAAAGCUAGGGUAGCAAACGGG
rnacentral:rRNA from 1 species